rnacentral:rRNA from 1 species
UACAGAGGGGGCAAGCGUUGCUCGGAAUUACUGGGCGUAAAGGGCGCGUAGGCGGCCUGCUAAGUCGAACGUGAAAUCCCUGGGCUCAACCCAGGAACUGCGUCCGAUACUGGUUGGCUUGAAUCCGGGAGAGGGAUGUGGAAUUCCAGGUGUAGCGGUGAAAUGCGUAGAUAUCGUCAAGAACACCUAUAGCGAAGGCAGCUUACUAGGCUGUAACUGACGCUGAGGCACGAAAGUGUGGGGAUCAAACAGG